UACUAGCCACAGAUUCUUUUUUUUUUUGAAAAAAAAGAAAAGAAAUAAACGGUGAAACCGCGAAAAGCUCAUUAAAUCGGCUUUGGUUCCUUAGAUAGUAAGCAGAUCUGAUUUUUUUUCAAUAAAUUAAUUUGAAAAAAAAGAAAAUCUGAGAUGGAUAACUGUGGUAAUUCUAGAGCUAAUACAUGAAAAUUAUUUCAGUGUGAAAAUAUUAUUAAAAAUUUUAUUUUUGCACGCUUUUAUUAGAGGAAAAAGCCAAUUUUUAAAAAUAAUUAAAGAAAUUAAAAAUUUUUUUAAUUAUUUUAUUUAAUUCAUUUAAAAAAUUUAUCAUUAAUUUGAUAAUUUUUUAGAAUGGUGUUGAAUCUGAAUAACUUGAAUGAAUUUCUUUUGAAAAAUAUUUAUUGUAUUAAGGUUUUUAUAACUUUUUUUUUUUUAAAAAAAAUUUAUUUAUUUAUUUUAUAUUUAAAUAAAAUUAAUUAAAAAAAAAAUAAGUUAUAUUUAUUUCGAUAAAUUUUUAUUAGAAAGAAAUUUAAAGCAGACCGCAAAAAAAAAUUUAUCUUAUUUAUAAANUAAAUAAAUGCGGCGUAUCUUUCAAUNGUCUGCCUGAUCAACUNCCGUUGGUAGAUUACAUGUCUACCAUGGUUGUAACGGGUAACGGGGAAUCAGGGUUCGAUUCCGGAGAGGGAGCCUGAGAAACGGCUACCACAUCUAAGGAAGGCAGCAGGCGCGCAAAUUACCCACUCCCGGCACGGGGAGGUAGUGACGAUAAAUAACGAUCCGGAACUCAAAUGAGUUUCCGUAAUCGGAAUGAGUACAAUUUAAAAGCGUUAGCAAGUAUCAAAUGGAGGGCAAGUCUGGUGCCAGCAGCCGCGGUAAUUCCAGCUCCAUUAGCAUAUAUAAAAGUUGUUGCGUUUAAAAAGCUCGUAGUCGAAUCUGUAUCUCAUCAUGUCAGUCGCUCGUAAUUUAAUUUAUGUAGUUUGAUUUGACAUUUUGUAUGAGAUAUAAAUACUGGUGGAUUUUUCAAAAUUGAAAUUUAUUUUUUUAUAUUUAUUUUAUUAUAAAUAUAAAUUAAAUGAUAAUUUUCAAUUUUAAAAUUCGAUAUAAUAAUUUUUAAUUAAAAAAGUUUAUUUUUUAAUUAAAAAAAUAUUUUUUUAAUACUUGAUUUUUUUUUAAAAAAAAAUUUUUUUAUUAAAAAGAUUUUUUUUAUUUUAAAAAAUUUACUUAAAUUAAAAUUUAAUUAUAUUCUAAUAAAAUUAUUUUUUGUAAUUUUUAUUAGACCAGUAAAAUUACUUUGAAGAAAUUAGAGUGCUUAAAGCAGGCAAAUUUAUAUGCCUUGAAUAUAACAGCANGGAAUAAUAGAAUAUGAUCUCGAUACUGUUUAAAAAAAGUUUUUUUUUUUUUAUUUUAUAUAAAAAAAAAAAUAAAAAUUGGCUUAAAGAAAUAAAUAAAAAUUAAAAUUUUUCCCAAAAAAAAAUUACCAAAAUAUUUC
rnacentral:rRNA from 1 species